GAGCGACGCAGUGUUGGAGGCGGAGAGAACGAGUGACGCAUGAGGGGGUGGUGUUUCAGUGCCGCAGUGUCUGCCGGGUUCCGAUAAAACGAUUUCGUGUUUCUCUCGCGCUUUCUCGAUCCCCAGUUUCCUGGUAAAUAAUGGAGGGUCAAGAAACUAAAGAACCAGAGCAGUUACGCAAGCUGUUCAUUGGUGGAUUGAGUUUUGAAACUAAUGAAGAGAGUUUAAAGGAGCACUUCGAGCAAUGGGGACAGUUAACAGAUUGUGUGGUGAUGAGAGAACCACAAACAAAACGUUCAAGAGGGUUUGGGUUUGUGACUUAUUCUUCUGUAUUGGAGGUGGAUGCUGCUAUGUCUGCACGGCCACACAAAGUUGAUGGCCGUGUUGUAGAACCAAAAAGAGCAGUGUCAAGAGAGGAUUCUACGAAACCUGGUGCCCAUUUAACAGUGAAAAAAAUAUUUGUUGGAGGUAUCAAAGAAGAUACUGAGGAAUAUCACCUGAGAGAUUAUUUUGAGAAGUAUGGCAAGAUUGAAAAUAUUGAAGUUAUGACUGAUCGUGGAAGUGGGAAAAAACGAGGGUUCGCCUUUGUCACAUUUGAUGAUCAUGAUUCUGUUGACAAAAUUGUUGUGCAAAAAUACCACACUGUGAAUGGACACAACUGUGAAGUGAGAAAAGCACUUUCACGACAGGAGAUGCAGGGGCUGGGAUCUGGCCAAAGAGGACGUGGUAGUUCUGGAGGUGGCAGUAGCCCUGGCCAUUACAUGGGCCGUGGUGGUGGAAAUUUUGGAAGUGGAAAUGGAGGAGGAAAUUUUAACCGAGGAGGAAAUUUCAGUGGCAGAGGAAUGGGAAAUUUUGGAGGUAGCCGCGAUGAUUAUGGAGGGAGUGGUGGCGGUGGAUAUAAUGGAUUUGGUGAUGGUGGCAAUUUUGGAGGUGGCCAAGGUUACUGUGGUAGAGGAGGAGGAUAUGGCGGUGGUGGCCCAGGUUUUGGCAACCAAGGUGGUGGUGGAGGUGGAGGAGGAUAUGGUGGUGGUGGCGGCGGCUACGACAACUACAAUGAAAGUGGAAACUUUGGAGGAAAUUUUGGUGGUGGCGGUGGUGGGAGCUACAAUGACUUUGGAAACUAUCCUAACCAAUCAUCAAAUUAUGGACCCAUGAAGAAUAGCAAUUAUGGGCGGAACUCUGGUCCCUAUGGUGGUGGCUAUGGAUCUGGUGGUGGUGGUGGUGGUGGUGGUAGUGGUGGAAGUGGUGGCUAUAGUAGAAGAUAUUGAACGCAUUUACUGAAAGAUUGGAUAAGAAGUCUCCCAUUUUUACUGUGGCAAGUUGCAUACUACGUUAAUGCUCAAUUUCUGGAAUGCUCCUGGUCUCUUGCAUUAAGAAUGAUGUUCUCAGAGCCAAAGGGAUGACUUUACACUUCCCAUAUUGAACACCAUCCCUCAUAAUUAUAUCCCUUAGUAAGUUCCUGCUCCCUUCUAGACAAAUUACUGUGCCUGAAUCAUGCAGAAAAGUUAGCCAAGAAUCAAAUGAGUAAACCAAAUACUGCCCCUUCCUCAUCUGGUUGCUGCUGAUAUGUGCAGGUUGAACAUUCUUUUUAAUGGCUGCACUCAUUUUUAUACACUCCAACUAAAUCUAUCCACUUUUACAUGAAAUUUAUUCCAAUGACUAUUCCAAUCAGCAUGCAAAGAUGACAACCCAGGAAACACCUUUGUAACUCUCUCUCCAGAACGCUAGUGGGCACAAACCAUUUUCAUCGGCAUUACAGCAGUGCACUUAAAUUUCCACUAAUUUUGGAAAACACACGGUCAAAUUUUUUCACAGCUUUUCAAAUUUCCCUCAGCACUUUCUCUGCUUAGAGGUCGUUUUCUAAAUGGUCCCUCAAAAAGUUUCUUAAACCAUCUGCCUGAAAUUAUUUCCUUCCUUCU